rnacentral:ncRNA from 2 species
AAUAAACUUCAGGGCAGGGUGUAAUCCCCGACCGGCGGUAUAGUCCGCGAGCCUGUAACAGGGCAGAACCGUUGCAACUACGGUACCGACAGUUAGAGUCUGGAUGAAAGAAGUAAUUA